CCUAAAGUUAACCAUGUUAACUAGUUUUAAUAAUCAAAACUUCUCCAACAAAACCUUGUUAUUGUUGAAAAAAAAAUGAAUACAAUACCAUAUACAUAUACAAGUCGAAGUGCAAAGAACAAGAAAAACGAAGGAGAUACAAACCAAAUUCUUUUAGAAGAACAUAAGGCCAACAAACCCAACAUGUGAGUGGCACAGAGGGAUUAAGGCUUUAUUUUGAUAAAAUGGGGAUUAAUUCUAAAUCCUCCUUCAUGUGAAAACUCUCCUAUUUCCGUCCAAUUAGUUAGCUUAGCAGGGGUUACAUCCUUUCCAUUAUUCUUCACUUAAUUUGAGGGGGAAAAAAGAACACAUAAAAGACAUGAAGUUGCCUUUAGUAUCCCCUUUGGCAUGCAUAUGUGGGAUCGAUUUUAUCAAGUUCUAGGGUUUUUCAUAUCAUUUCAUCAUUAUCUUCAUGUUUUUAAAAUUCUAUCUUUUUUUUUCUAAAUCCAUAUACUACCCCUUUUUCAAUAGAUGAUUUUCUUUUCAGAUACACCCAAAAAGCAAAAAAAAAAAAAAAAGUUAAAGAUUGUUCAUAUAUAAAAAUUGUUACAUAUCUUGGCGUUGACGUUGUGAAUCAUUUUGCCUGCAAAGUUUUUUUGUGUGCUCCUUCAAUACGUAGAGAGAGGGAAUUAGGGUUUCUUUAGCCCUACAUAUGAGUCGUGACUUCGUAAAACUAUUCUACAUAUGAUUUUUUUUAAUAAAAAGGAGGUCGAAAUCCAUGGAUAUAAGAGAAGAAGAAUUAUGAAAGUUGGAAUUGAACUUCAAUCUUAUAAGUAGGUGAAUCAUUUAGAUUAAACUCCAAAUUUGUUUUUAUUGAAUGAAUGUAUAGUACUUCUUCU
rnacentral:lncRNA from 1 species